UGGGGAAUAUUGGACAAUGGGCGAAAGCCUGAUCCAGCCAUGCCGCAUGAGUGAAGAAGGCCUUUGGGUUGUAAAGCUCUUUUAGUGAGGAAGAUAAUGACGGUACUCACAGAAGAAGUCCUGGCUAACUCCGUGCCAGCAGCCGCGGUAAUACGGAGAGGGCUAGCGUUAUUCGGAAUUAUUGGGCGUAAAGGGCGCGUAGGCUGGUUAAUAAGUUAAAAGUGAAAUCCCGAGGCUUAACCUUGGAAUUGCUUUUAAAACUAUUAAUCUAGAGAUUGAAAGAGGAUAGAGGAAUUCCUGAUGUAGAGGUAAAAUUCGUAAAUAUUAGGAGGAACACCGGUGGCGAAGGCGUCUAUCUGGUUCAAAUCUGACGCGGAGGCGCGAAGGCGUGGGGAGCAAACA
rnacentral:rRNA from 1 species